rnacentral:rRNA from 1 species
AGUAAGGAAUAUUGGUCAAUGGACGCAAGUCUGAACCAGCCAUGCCGCGUGGAGGAUGAAGGUCCUCUGGAUUGUAAACUUCUUUUAUCGGAGAAGAAACCCUUGCAUUCUUGCGAGGUUGACGGUACCCGAUGAAUAAGCACCGGCUAACUCCGUGCCAGCAGCCGCGGUAAUACGGAGGGUGCAAGCGUUAUCCGGAUUCACUGGGUUUAAAGGGUGCGUAGGUGGGCUAGUAAGUCCGUGGUGAAAUCUCCAAGCUUAACUUGGAAACUGCCGUGGAUACUAUUAGUCUUGAAUAUUGUGGAGGUAAGCGGAAUAUGUCAUGUAGCGGUGAAAUGCUUAGAUAUGACAUAGAACACCGAUAGCGAAGGCAGCUUGCUACACAAUCAUUGACACUGAGGCACGAAAGCGUGGGGAUCAAACAGG